rnacentral:rRNA from 1 species
CCAGCUCCAAGAGUGUAUAUUAAAGUUGUUGCAGUUGAAAGGCUCGUAGUCGGAAGGCGGGGCGGUGGAUGCAGAGCAGGGAGACCUGGAUCUGGGUCUGGGGUCCUUCGGGGGGCGAGGGAUGAUACCCGACCCCCCCCGUUACUUUGAAAAAAUUAGAGUGCUCCAGGCAGGCCUAUGCUCGAAUACAUUAGCAUGGAAUAAUGAAAUAGGACGUGCGGUUCUAUUUUGUUGGUUUCUAGGACCGCCGUAAUGAUUAAUAGGGACAGUCGGGGGCAUCAGUAUUCAAUUGUCAGAGGUGAAAUUCUUGGAUUUAUUGAAGACUAACUACUGCGAAAGCAUUUGCCAAGGAUGUUUUCAUUGAUCAAGAACGAAAGUUGGGGGAUCGAAGACGAUUAGAUACCGUCGUAGUCUCGACAGUAAACGAUGCCGGCGGGGCGUGGGGGGGCCGAAGGCGGAUCUUCCGCGCCCUGGAGAAAUCAGAGCGUGUGGGUUCUGGGGGGAGUAUGGUCGCAAGGCAGAAACUUGAAGGAAUUGACGGAAGGGCACCACCAGGAGUGGAGCCUGCGGCUUAAUUCGACUCAAC